UGAUCCGGAGAUGUCUGAAUGGGGGAACCCAGCCAUCAUAAGAUGGUUAUCUUACACUGAAUACAUAGGUGUAAGAGGCGAACCAGGGGAACUGAAACAUCUAAGUACCCUGAGGAAAAGAAAUCAACCGAGAUUCCCUUAGUAGUGGCGAGCGAACGGGGACCAGCCCUUAAGUUGUAUUGAGAUUAGCGGAACGCUCUGGAAAGUGCGGCCAUAGUGGGUGAUAGCCCUGUACGCGAAAAUCCCUUUGCAAUGAAAUCGAGUAGGACGGGGCACGAGAAACCUUGUCUGAAUAUGGGGGGACCAUCCUCCAAGGCUAAAUACUACUGACUGACCGAUAGUGAACCAGUACCGUGAGGGAAAGGCGAAAAGAACCGCGGAGAGCGGAGUGAAAUAGAUCCUGAAACCGUAUGCGUACAAGCAGUGGGAGCCCACUUUGUUGGGUGACUGCGUACCUUUUGUAUAAUGGGUCAGCGACUUAUUUUCAGUGGCGAGCUUAACCGAAUAGGGGAGGCGUAGCGAAAGCGAGUCUUAAUAGGGCGUCUAGUCGCUGGGAAUAGACCCGAAACCGGGCGAUCUAUCCAUGGGCAGGUUGAAGGUUGGGUAACACUAACUGGAGGACCGAACCGACUACCGUUGAAAAGUUAGCGGAUGACCUGUGGAUCGGAGUGAAAGGCUAAUCAAGCUCGGAGAUAGCUGGUUCUCCUCGAAAGCUAUUUAGGUAGCGCCUCAUGUAUCACUGUAGGGGGUAGAGCACUGUUUCGGCUAGGGGGUCAUCCCGACUUACCAAACCGAUGCAAACUCCGAAUACCUACAAGUGCCGAGCAUGGGAGACACACGGCGGGUGCUAACGUCCGUCGUGAAAAGGGAAACAACCCAGACCGUCAGCUAAGGUCCCAAAGUCAUGGUUAAGUGGGAAACGAUGUGGGAAGGCUUAGACAGCUAGGAGGUUGGCUUAGAAGCAGCCACCCUUUAAAGAAAGCGUAAUAGCUCACUAGUCGAGUCGGCCUGCGCGGAAGAUGUAACGGGGCUCAAACCAUGCACCGAAGCUACGGGUAUCAUCUUAUGAUGAUGCGGUAGAGGAGCGUUCUGUAAGCCUGUGAAGGUGAGUUGAGAAGCUUGCUGGAGGUAUCAGAAGUGCGAAUGCUGACAUGAGUAACGACAAUGGGUGUGAAAAACACCCACGCCGAAAGACCAAGGUUUCCUGCGCAACGUUAAUCGACGCAGGGUUAGUCGGUCCCUAAGGCGAGGCUGAAAAGCGUAGUCGAUGGAAAACAGGUUAAUAUUCCUGUACUUCUGGUUAUUGCGAUGGAGGGACGGAGAAGGCUAGGCCAGCCUGGCGUUGGUAGUCCAGGUUUAAGGUGGUAGGCUGAGAUCUUAGGUAAAUCCGGGAUCUUAAGGCCGAGAGCUGAUGACGAGUGUUCUUUUAGAACAUGAAGUGGUUGAUGCCAUGCUUCCAAGAAAAGCUUCUAAGCUUCAGGUAACCAGGAACCGUACCCCAAACCGACACAGGUGGUUGGGUAGAGAAUACCAAGGCGCUUGAGAGAACUCGGGUGAAGGAACUAGGCAAAAUGGCACCGUAACUUCGGGAGAAGGUGCGCCGGUGAGGGUGAAGCAUUUACUGCGUAAGCCCACGCCGGUCGAAGAUACCAGGCCGCUGCGACUGUUUAUUAAAAACACAGCACUCUGCAAACACGAAAGUGGACGUAUAGGGUGUGACGCCUGCCCGGUGCCGGAAGGUUAAUUGAUGGGGUUAGCGCAAGCGAAGCUCUUGAUCGAAGCCCCGGUAAACGGCGGCCGUAACUAUAACGGUCCUAAGGUAGCGAAAUUCCUUGUCGGGUAAGUUCCGACCUGCACGAAUGGCGUAACGAUGGCGGCGCUGUCUCCACCCGAGACUCAGUGAAAUUGAAAUCGCUGUGAAGAUGCAGUGUAUCCGCGGCUAGACGGAAAGACCCCGUGAACCUUUACUAUAGCUUUGCACUGGACUUUGAAUUUGCUUGUGUAGGAUAGGUGGGAGGCUUUGAAGCGUGGACGCCAGUCUGCGUGGAGCCAACCUUGAAAUACCACCCUGGCAACUUUGAGGUUCUAACUCAGGUCCGUUAUCCGGAUCGAGGACAGUGUAUGGUGGGUAGUUUGACUGGGGCGGUCUCCUCCUAAAGAGUAACGGAGGAGUACGAAGGUGCGCUCAGACCGGUCGGAAAUCGGUCGUAGAGUAUAAAGGCAAAAGCGCGCUUGACUGCGAGACAGACACGUCGAGCAGGUACGAAAGUAGGUCUUAGUGAUCCGGUGGUUCUGUAUGGAAGGGCCAUCGCUCAACGGAUAAAAGGUACUCCGGGGAUAACAGGCUGAUACCGCCCAAGAGUUCAUAUCGACGGCGGUGUUUGGCACCUCGAUGUCGGCUCAUCACAUCCUGGGGCUGAAGCCGGUCCCAAGGGUAUGGCUGUUCGCCAUUUAAAGUGGUACGCGAGCUGGGUUUAGAACGUCGUGAGACAGUUCGGUCCCUAUCUGCCGUGGACGUUUGAGAUUUGAGAGGGGCUGCUCCUAGUACGAGAGGACCGGAGUGGACGAACCUCUGGUGUUCCGGUUGUCACGCCAGUGGCAUUGCCGGGUAGCUAUGUUCGGAAAAGAUAACCGCUGAAAGCAUCUAAGCGGGAAACUUGCCUCAAGAUGAGAUCUCACUGGAACCUUGAGUUCCCUGAAGGGCCGUCGAAGACUACGACGUUGAUAGGUUGGGUGUGUAAGCGCUGUGAGGCGUUGAGCUAACCAAUACUAAUUGCCCGUGAGGCUUGACC
rnacentral:rRNA from 1 species